rnacentral:rRNA from 1 species
GUGGGGAAUUUUGGACAAUGGGCGAAAGCCUGAUCCAGCAAUGCCGCGUGCAGGAAGAAGGCCUUCGGGUUGUAAACUGCUUUUGUACGGAACGAAACGGUCCUGGCUAAUAUCCGGGGCUAAUGACGGUACCGUAAGAAUAAGCACCGGCUAACUACGUGCCAGCAGCCGCGGUAAUACGUAGGGUGCGAGCGUUAAUCGGAAUUACUGGGCGUAAAGCGUGCGCAGGCGGUGCUGUAAGACAGGCGUGAAAUCCCCGGGCUCAACCUGGGAAUUGGGCGUGUGACUGCAGUGGUGGAGUGCGGCAGAGGGGGAUGGAAUUCCGCGUGUAGCAGUGAAAUGCGUAGAUAUGCGGAGGAACACCGAUGGCGAAGGCAAUCCCCUGGGCCUGCACUGACGCUCAUGCACGAAAGCGUGGGGAGCAAACAGGAUUAGAUACCCUGGUAGUCC